rnacentral:rRNA from 1 species
AGAGUUUGAUCAUGGCUCAGAUUGAACGCUGGCGGCAGGCCUAACACAUGCAAGUCGAACGGUAACAGGAAGAAGCUUGCUUCUUUGCUGACGAGUGGCGGACGGGUGAGUAAUGUCUGGGAAACUGCCUGAUGGAGGGGGAUAACUACUGGAAACGGUAGCUAAUACCGCAUAACGUCGCAAGACCAAAGAGGGGGACCUUCGGGCCUCUUACCAUCGGAUGUGCCCAGAUGGGAUUAGCUAGUAGGUGAGGUAACGGCUCACCUAGGCGACGAUCCCUAGCUGGUCUGAGAGGAUGACCAGCCACACUGGAACUGAGACACGGUCCAGACUCCUACGGGAGGCAGCAGUGGGGAAUAUUGCACAAUGGGCGCAAGCCUGAUGCAGCCAUGCCGCGUGUAUGAAGAAGGCCUUCGGGUUGUAAAGUACUUUCAGCGGGGAGGAAGGGAGUAAAGUUAAUACCUUUGCUCAUUGACGUUACCCGCAGAAGAAGCACCGGCUAACUCCGUGCCAGCAGCCGCGGUAAUACGGAGGGUGCAAGCGUUAAUCGGAAUUACUGGGCGUAAAGCGCACGCAGGCGGUUUGUUAAGUCAGAUGUGAAAUCCCCGGGCUCAACCUGGGAACUGCAUCUGAUACUGGCAAGCUUGAGUCUCGUAGAGGGGGGUAGAAUUCCAGGUGUAGCGGUGAAAUGCGUAGAGAUCUGGAGGAAUACCGGUGGCGAAGGCGGCCCCCUGGACGAAGACUGACGCUCAGGUGCGAAAGCGUGGGGAGCAAACAGGAUUAGAUACCCUGGUAGUCCACGCCGUAAACGAUGUCGACUUGGAGGUUGUGCCCUUGAGGCGUGGCUUCCGGAGCUAACGCGUUAAGUCGACCGCCUGGGGAGUACGGCCGCAAGGUUAAAACUCAAAUGAAUUGACGGGGGCCCGCACAAGCGGUGGAGCAUGUGGUUUAAUUCGAUGCAACGCGAAGAACCUUACCUGGUCUUGACAUCCACGGAAGUUUUCAGAGAUGAGAAUGUGCCUUCGGGAACCGUGAGACAGGUGCUGCAUGGCUGUCGUCAGCUCGUGUUGUGAAAUGUUGGGUUAAGUCCCGCAACGAGCGCAACCCUUAUCCUUUGUUGCCAGCGGUCCGGCCGGGAACUCAAAGGAGACUGCCAGUGAUAAACUGGAGGAAGGUGGGGAUGACGUCAAGUCAUCAUGGCCCUUACGACCAGGGCUACACACGUGCUACAAUGGCGCAUACAAAGAGAAGCGACCUCGCGAGAGCAAGCGGACCUCAUAAAGUGCGUCGUAGUCCGGAUUGGAGUCUGCAACUCGACUCCAUGAAGUCGGAAUCGCUAGUAAUCGUGGAUCAGAAUGCCACGGUGAAUACGUUCCCGGGCCUUGUACACACCGCCCGUCACACCAUGGGAGUGGGUUGCAAAAGAAGUAGGUAGCUUAACCUUCGGGAGGGCGCUUACCACUUUGUGAUUCAUGACUGGGGUGAAGUCGUAACAAGGUAACCGUAGGGGAACCUGCGGUUG